AUCCAGCUGAAGAGCCCCAAAUAGGCGAAAUGCGCAUCCUGGAU
rnacentral:hammerhead_ribozyme from 1 species